GCGUUGUUCGGAUUCAUUGGGCGUAAAGGGCGUGUAGGCGGUUAGAUAGGUCUGCUGUGAAAACUCCAGGCUCAACCUGGAGACGUCGGUGGAAACCAUCUAACUAGAGUCCGGAAGAGGAGAGUGGAAUUCCUGGUGUAGCGGUGAAAUGCGCAGAUAUCAGGAAGAACACCUGUUGCGAAGGCGGCUCUCUGGGACGGUACUGACGCUGAGACGCGAAAGCGUG
rnacentral:rRNA from 1 species